UCCUCCAAAGAAUAGGCUUGUUGCUUUACAGUGUUAGUGACCCAUUCCCUUUGACGAUCCCUAGGUGGAGAUGGGGCAUGAGGAUCCUCCAGGGGAAAAGCUCCCUACCACUGGGCAACAACCCUAGGUCAGGAGGUUCUACCAAGAUACUUUUCUGGGCCCAGAUAGGAAGAUGAAGUCUCGAAGACAACCACCACAUGUCAAGGAGAACACAGACAACUGCCACAUCAGUGACACUGAUCUCAUGGGCAAAUCGUUCUGUUCCAUCUCGUCCUCAGUCUCCUUGAGGCCUAAAUGAGAACUUUGUCAAUCAUUUACAUAUAAGAUGCCUUGGGAUGUCCAUGGGAGAUAACACACAAGAAGCUGUUUGAGAAGAUAAAUAAGAGCUGUAUCUUUUUAUGCUUCGUUUGCUGAUUCAUGGGCGCCUCAUAAUCACAAAUGGAAACCUGACCAAAGAUGGCACAAAGUUUUCUCUCAUCAGGCAAGAUCUAAAGAAUCGGGACCCUACAUUCUCUAGCUCUUGAUUGUUCCCUUCAUAUUUGCCAAAUCAUUAUCCUUCUCAAAAGCAGUGGAGAGAGUUGGGUUUUCAUCAGAAACAAGAAAUUUGAACACACCAAAAGAAGUCAGCUUUCCCACUCGAAGAUCAACAUGCCUGGCACUCUAGCACUUUAGAAUAGCAGGAUGAAUUUUCAUGUCUGUUGUGCCCCUCACUGUAUCUUAUUUUUUCUACUUCUUACCCUCUUUUCCUAAAUGUUUGCCUUUGCUUAUAUCUCAUUUAUAAGGGUGUAUUCCUUUGCUUAUUUCUUUCUUCCUUGAGUGUCUUUGCUCUUUCUUCUCUCUCUACAGUGUCUCACCCAUUUCCAUGUUUUCUCUUGCUAAUUUCUUCUGUGUGUGCCUUUGCCCCAUUUUCUCUUUGUUCCCGUGAGUGGUCUGUGCCUUGGCUUAGAUGUAUCUCAUUUUUUCAUU